rnacentral:rRNA from 1 species
AUGCAACAGCUGCAUAGCAUUCUGAAAUAUAGAGCAACCAGUAACAUCUCUAGAGUAAUCUCUACUAUAGUAGAGAACAAGUCCAUUUUUAUUAUCUUAACAAGUAACAAGCUUAUCUUCUCAUCAAAAUUGUGCAAAGUCUGUACAAAUAUUAACAGGAAUAUGUUACAACAAUCAUAUACAGCAGCCGCAUGGCCACAUACAACAGCCGAAUAUGUUCUGAAACAUAGAGCAACUAGUAACAUCUCUAGAGUAAUCUCUACUUUAGUAGAGAACAUGUCCAUUUUUAUCAUACUGAUAGUAGCAAGUUUAUCUUACUUCUCAUCCAAAUAG